rnacentral:lncRNA from 1 species
AAAGAGAAAAGAACCAUCAUCCAUCAGGCUAUCAAAUCUCUGUUUCCAGGAUUAGAGACAAAAACAGAGGAUAGGGAGGGGAAGAAAUACAUUGUAGCCUACCACGCAGCUGGGAAAAAGGCUUUGGCAAAUCCAAGAAAACAUUCUUGGCCAAAAUCUAGGGGAAGUUACUGCCACUUCGUACUAUAUAAGGAAAACAAAGACACCAUGGAUGCUAUUAAUGUACUCUCCAAAUACUUAAGAGUCAAGCCAAAUAUAUUCUCCUACAUGGGAACCAAAGAUAAAA